AUCAGGCCUCCCUCAUCUCCACUAAGUGCAUCUGAACACAUGACUUCUUGCACGAAUGUUCUGUUUGUGGAGCAAGUAGGCGAACCAUUGGAGCGACGUGAUACUCCAUAUUGGCAUAAUCCCACUAAAUAGCAUGGUUAAUGAUUCCGAUUUUAGCAUCUAAUAAUUUUUCCAAUUACUUACAACUCUUAUUCAUAUAUGGUUAUUUGCUGUAAUGUACAGAACAUUUUUCAUAUAUCAUGACCCUUUGCAGUGUUUAUUUGGAACACAGGAUUUCUAAUUUUUGGACCUGUACACAACCAGAUUUUGGGGAUUUAUAAUGUGAGUGAGUUAUUAUGUUACUUGAAUCGGUGUACGUAACCUGGUUUUGUUGGGGCUUGGUUUUCAGUGAUUCCAACAGGUCAGUGACUUUCCACGCUCUCAGACAACAACAUUCUUAAUUCAAACGGUGAUGUGAUUUUAUCCAUAUGAAUAUUGUGUUAUCGUUUGUUUUAAUUCAAGUGAUAUUACACAUGUAGCUUGCUGGGUAUAUUUUACAUAUUUACUUUUGGAAAUUUCUUAGAGAUUAUGGAUGACAGCAGACAACAUUGCAGAUACGUUGCAGCUGGGCACCCUGAUCAGGUUUCCUUUUUGGUAAUUUUUGGAGAUCAUAGAUGAUAUUAAUAUCAUAGUUGUACUGCAAUUUGCAAGGUUUCUUGUGUUUGUGUGUACAAAUAGAUCGAAUCCAAUUCAAGUGACUUUGAUUAAUUUCCUUUUCAAAGUUAUUGUUGGGCAGCUAUUGACCUCUAUAAUACAUUUAUUUUCACUUCUCUUUUGCUCCCAGGAAAUCUGGUCCAAGCCCCACUACAGUUUUAUAUAAGGAUGUUGGAGGCAGCAUCGGAAGAGAUAAGUCUGCGGGAAUCUUGUCCAAACUCCACAUCGCUGUCACCGAACAAAGUUGGAGGUACAAUUGAAAGAGACCAGCCAGAUUCUUGUUCCGGGUAUUAAAAAGAAACCUGGCUAGAGAUUUCAUGCCAUGUCAUUCCAUUUAUGUUUGCUUGUGUGCUUAUCAUAUCUGAUUACAUGAUUGACAUUUAUUUCAUAAUUAGUAUAUACUUUGACACAUGAUAUGUUUUGCUUUAUUUAUGAACAACAGGAUACGUUUACUUUUUGUGAUCAUAUAAGUGAACAAACAUAGCCAAUGGUUAAAGUUUAUAUCUACUAUGUAUGUAUAUUUUUCAUUCACACAUGUCUCACUGCCUUUUAAGCACUUAAGAGAGCAGAACUGGAGAUUGCUCUCAUUAAAUGUGAACAAAAUUGAUGUUCUUUUUUUUGCAAAAUAGUAAAUACUGUGUUCUCUUGAUUGUUUUUUGUCUUUUCAGUUUACCUGAAUCUAAGAAGUCCGACCAUCAAUUAAUGAGAGAUUUUUGCUUCUAUCAUUCAUGGAACCAUUGAAAUGAAAUACAUACCUUGGCUCAACCAAUACUUCACAAUCUUUUUGCCCAAAGCAAACAGUAUCAUUAUUUAUAUGUUCUAAAUUAAAAUAUUUUCGCUUGUGUGCUCAAUUAAAAUUUUACCGCUUAAAGGAAAAGAAACCAUUUUUAUCACUCCUACAGUUCACAGGGAGAGAGAACAAGAAAGAAAACCUUUCACCAAAAUCUUGUCUUCCUACUUACUUUUACUUACCAAGAAGAAUCAACAAUAAUUGAAUCUUUUAAGAAAAUGGAUAAAAGAUCAUUUUUAGUUAGUAAUGUACAACUCCCAACUUGUCUCUUUUACUUCUUUUUCUGUGCAUGUGCACCCUGUUGAAUGGUGUUGUACUUGUACAUAAUGGAAUUGCAAGCAAAACAAUGUUAUGGAUGGUCUACAAGAUUAUCUGGAUGAAUUCAUCUCCAGGGUAAAAGAAGGUAGGCAAUGUGCAUGACAUUUGAUUUGAAAUAAUAUUGCCUUGAAAAUGUAUGAGUGCUUUCUUGGCAUCUGACAUUGCAGAAUCAAACAUUGAUGCAUACCUUUGUAAAUUCUCUCGGGGAGAAAAAGUAUAAUUUGCAAGUUGCAACAUUGAUUCCAAAAUACAUGGUGUUCACACAUAUCUAUUUUAUGUAGUUUGUGAUAAACCAAAAUGUUCAGAGUUUUUGAAAGCACCAUCAAUGGUCUCUAUUUAUAUGGAGAUAAGUUAUGAAAAAAAUGAGGUUCAACAACUUUGAACCUAUCUCUUGCUAGAUGUAAGGGCCUGAAAACAUGGUUUCAGGUCUAUAUGAUGAAUGUUACCUUCGCUGUUUCUUUUGUGUGUCAUCUUAUAUUACCAUCAACAACUAUAAGUAUAAGGUAGUAUGAGACAUGCACACAAGGUGUAUUUGAUUGGGAGUGGAUGUAUCUUUUAAAAGAGCAUUAGCAGAGACGUGCGUUGCACGUGCAAGCU